GCCCCCGCCCGGCCGGCCGGCGCCGGAGUCUGGGGGCCCGGGCUGGGGGGCUGGAACCCGCGACGCGCUCUGACGUCACUGGAGGCCGCCCCGGCCGCGGCGGCGAGCGCGCAGGCUCCGCACGUCCCAUCCCGACGCGCGGGAGGGCGCGGGAGCCGCGGGAGCCGCGCGAGGCGUGGAGGCGGGAGGGGCCCCGGGGCGCUCCUCUGGGUUAGCGGCCGGCCUCCCUGAUUCGCGCGCGCACCAGGCCUUCCCACGCUUUUUCGUUGCUCCACGUCAGCGCUGCUUGUACGUUGUGCAAAAUCCGCGACGCAGAGCGGAGCCAUAUGGUGCGGAGUAGUUUUACCUCCCUGUUCCUGGGCCUGGGCCUCAGCUACCUGAGCCUAGCUAACCAUUGUUCUUCUCCUUCCACGCCACACCCUUAGAUCAAAGGUUCUCAAAAUGGGCUGCAAGCUGGGAUCACGUGGAAAGCUUUUGCGUUGUGGUCCCGCUCCCUGAGAUGCAUUUCGUUGGUAAGGGGCGUGACCUGAGCGUUGGAAUUUUUAAGAGCUCGCCCAGGUGAUUGCAGUGUGCCCCGGCUUGAAACCACCAGUCUCCAUCGGUGCUGCUCGCGCUUGAAUGGCUGUGGGAGUCAUCUGGGGGAUCUCGUUACAGUAAAUGCAGAUUCAACUUAGAGAGAAUUUGCAUGUGCAUGCGUGAACAGAAGAGGAGCAGAGGAAGAGGAAGAAAGAGAAUCUCAAGCAGACUCCUGCUGAGCUUGGAGCCUGACACUGGACCUCACAACUCUUGAGGUUAUGACCUGCGCUGAAAUCAAGAGUCAGGAGCUUAACCCACUGAGCCACCCAGGUGCCCCUUUCUUGUGAAAUUUUAAUUUUAUGAUGAACAUGUAUCAUUUUAUAAUUAGAAGAAUGUUAAAGCUAUUUUUAUCUUGAAAAAGUAAAACACAAGAAAGGUUAGUUUAAGGCAAAACUUCCCCAAGAAAAAUAACUUGUCAUAUGAGGAUGCAAAAAAAAAUUGGAUUACAUUUUACUAGGCAACAGAGCACCUUUGGUGACAAUUUCAAAUUUGGUAUGUCUGAGGAAAAAAUCAUGCAAAGCUGACUAAUGAAGCCAGAAGUAGUGGUAUUCCUUUCCUUCUUUAUUGUUUCUAAAGAAAUCAUAAGAUAUGCAAAAGAUGUACUUACUGGUGACCAUUGUCCUGUAGAAUAAAAAGAUGACUUAUUUUUUU